AAUGGAAUGGAACUCCUAACCCUAGUCCUCUCUUUCAUAAGCUAUACCAGCACUUAACCACUGUGCUAUGAUUGCUUUGGCUAAUCAAAGUAAUUAAAGGAGGCCAUAUUUAUAUACUAUUGUAGAUGGUGGGAUUGGCUCUUUGCUUCUUUGGCAAUGCUAUGUCGAACGUUCCAUGGAUUUGAUUGCAUUUGAAGCAUUUAGUGGAGAGGAAAAGGGAGAUGGCCAAAUAUCACUCCUAAACUCCGCAGUCCUCAAUCCUGAGGUUCAGAUUCAGCUACAUCAUUAUCUUGUUAAAUCUCAUAUUGAAUUUUCUGUUACGAAUUUGAAAGUGGCAUCAAGAUGUGGAUUUUCAUUCAAAAAUGGAUCCGAGUCUUUUGCGAUGUUCCUGUUGCAAAAUACUGGAUUUAUAUCUAUGCCGUUUCUGUUCUUUGAAUUGAAACAAACUAGAAUUCUCAAAGGGAAACUUUUUCUAUUAUAACUAUUUAAAAACCAUUUUUAAUGAUUACUAGGGAGUUGAAUCUUUGGUACUCGAAGAAGUGUAAGAUUAAUAAAUCUAUCCUAUUUGAGUCAAUUGAAGAUGUAAAUUAAAAUAAAAAAAAAAAAAACUUACUUUUUCGUCAUAAAUUUAUUUAUGAAGUGAUUGAAUCUGAAUCGCAUCAAGUAAUUAUAUUGUUCAUUUUUUUUUUUUUGGUUCGGGUGAAAAUGUAGCAAUAGAUUACGGGCACUGCCUCCAAGGCUCGAACUCAUGACCUCUUUGAAAAAUAUGAGUACGGUACCACUUGCUUGUUGAUUAUAUUGCUCAUUUAUGAUGUAAGAAUGAUGAUUUUACACAAGAAAGAUUAUGAGUAUGGUACUGCAGAAUGGGCAAUUUGAUAUUUUAAUAUUUUCCUAAUUGCUUUUAUUACAAAGGUUGGUUUAAUUAUUAGUGUCUCUUAACUGUUUUUAGGAUUAAAUUUUCAUCUUUUAAAAUAAAAAAUAAAAAAUAAAAAAUAAAAGAAAUGUUCUAUCAUUCAAAUCCUGCAUGCCUCCCUCCACAUCUCUUCAUAGUGGAGUAAAAAAUCUUGUAUUGACAUAUUAUUUGAGAAAUGAUUUUGAUAAUGAUUAUAGGAGACCAUUUCUAAUAAUUUAUAAUAGUGUCAUUAGGUAAUACUCCCUCCGUCCCAAUAUAACCGUCAAUGAGAACUGUGUGACUUAUAUUGACGGUGGGAGUAGUACAGCUCCCAACGAAGACGCUUAUAUUAGGAUGGAGGGAAUAGUACUGUUGAAUUCUUCGAAAUAGGAUGGAGGGAAUAGUACUGUUGAAUUAUUCGAAAAUAAUUUUUCCGGAUAAAUUAAAUAACUCUUUAAAUAGUCUAACUAAAAUAUGACCAUUCUGUUUGCAGUGAUUGUUUGAUUAACCAAUUCAUUCUUAUUCUAUUCCCUUUUACAUUUUAUUUUACUUCAUUUCAUUUAUGAGUACCACAAACAAAAGAAGAUUUAUACGAGGGGAAUGAAUGAAAAAAAAAAUAGAUAAUGUUGCAAAUUAUAUUCCUUUGUUUUGGUUUGUAGAGAAUGCCUAUCCAUUUAUUUUACAUCUAUCACUCAUUCCAAUCUAUUUGUUUUUUUUUUUUUCUUUUUGUUCUUUACUUCUCCGAAGUCCGAACUAUUACCUCUCUAUUUAGAGUUUUAGACACAAUUUUUUAAAGGUAGUGUCUAACAAAAAAAAAAUCUUUAAAGGUUACAAAAUGUCAAAUAAGAAAUUACCAUACAAAAUUGAAAUAAACUCAAAAGAAAACUAAAAUAUAAAAACUGACUAUAAAAACUACCAAAAAGACCCAUGGCAUAUAAAAACUGAGUACUCUGACUAAAAACCACCAAAAAGAAUCAAAGGAAUAAAAUUCAGGGAAUAUAAAAACCAUAAAAACUACCAAAAAGAAUCAAAGGAAUAAAAUAUAAAAACCAUAAAAACUACCAAAAAGAAUCAAAGGAAUAAAAAUUCAAGGAAUAAAGAGAGAGGAAACCAAAUCAUGGAAUAAAGGAAAAAAAUCAGGGAAUAAAGAGAAAAGGUAAAAACCGAAAAUAUUGGAAUUUUUUAGGUGGACUAAGCAAAUAUAAAACCAACCACAAAACAAUGCUUCAUGUAAUAUUAUAUAUAUAUAUAAUACACACACAUGCAUAUAAUCUAUAGAAAAACAGAUAUAUAUCAUAUAUAUGGGCAUCAGAGAAAUAGACAUAGCAGGCAAGAAACUCGUAAUACACGAGCUCGACGAUGUAUGUGACUCGGCAACCGGCCGAGCACUCACCGGGUCAUGGGUCUGGGACUCGGCCUUGGUCUUUUCCGAGUGGAUGUCGACGCAGGGCCGACUCCUGUUCGAUUUCCGAGGCAAAACCGUGCUCGAACUCGGGGCGGGAGCAGGGCUUCCCGGCUUGACAGCUUCUCAGCUCGGCGCGAGCCGAGUCAUAUUGACGGAUAUCGAGCCGUUGCUUUCUGGGUUGAGAAGGAACGUUGAGGCCAACGGACUCGGAAACCGAGUGGAGGUGAGUCAACUGGUUUGGGGGUCCGAUGAGUUGCUGAUUCAACUCAGCGAGUUGGACCUGGUGUUGAUGUCGGACGUGUUCUAUGACGAGUCGGAGAUGGCAGCACUGGCAGGGACCCUAAAGAGGGUUUGCUGGAAGGAUACGGUGGUGUGGGCAGCCUGCGAGGUUCGGCCGUGGACAAGCGAGUGCUUGAAUGAGUUGGUGAGUGAAGGGUUUGGAGUCGUCGAGUGGCCGAGUCAACUCGGUAGCUUGAAUUCAUCAUCUGUGACAAGUAUGAGUUCUGGGGUGUUCGCUAUUUUUAACCUCCUUCCACCUAAUCAAAGUGUAUUAGCCAACCAGUUAACCACUGCUCGUGACAAUACUAUUGUAGAGCCAUACCAAAAUCUUGACUGAAAAAUGCUAAUUCCUACUGAAUUUGUGCAGCAGUUUAAAAAGAAAGUUUGAAGAAAUUUUAAUUAGAUCCCACUUUUGAUUCUUGAAUAAUAUCAAAUUUUCAGAUUUGGCUUAAGAUCGAACUUUUAAUUUUUAUUAUUAUUUUUUUGUCCCCUAGAGUUGACAUUUGGAGCAAUUUUGUUUAAGUUUUCUGGAAAAUGUUAUCAAAUUUGUAUUUUGCUAUUAAUUAUUAUCGUUUUGCAUUUUUAUUUUUUUUUGUGAUAACAGAGGCGGGCUAAAAACUUCAGGCUACCAAAGGCCUCUGAUGGCUCAGUGCGUCAAUUGUUGUCAAGGUACAAGUUAUACCAUGAAGGCAACAGUAAAGACUCAUCACUUGAAAGAAGCCAGAAAGAUAAAUAGCUCAUUCACAUGAUGAAUAAAGCUUUAUACCAAACUCAUGAGUCAUGACAAUCACUUUCUGGAGAUUCACUGCAAAGCAACCAAAAUUUUGCAUUGCUACGUUUAUUAUUAUAAUUCUCUGCAACUAGUUAGAAGACAACACCUUGACAAUGCAUCAAUUUUUUUCCUUCAUGUUAGACUAUAGCUUAUAUCAGUCACAAAAGAACAUCCUAUGUCGCGACUUGCAAAUGAUUCUUGUCACCCAAUACUUCUGAGAACAAGAAAACAUGACAAAAGACGAUCUUUCUGAACUUAGCUACGUGAAAACAGAGGAGGGAUCAAUUAACGAAAAAACUACGACAUAUGCAUACAUUAAGCAAGAUGAUAUCACAUUAAGAUAAACUAAAGCUUGCGUAACUGUGAUAAAAGUUUACCAUCAACUACGUGAUAUG